UUACAAUGGAGAGUUUGAUCCUGGCUCAGGAUGAACGCUAGCGGCAGGCCUAACACAUGCAAGUCGAGGGGUAACAGGAAGAAG
rnacentral:rRNA from 1 species